rnacentral:lncRNA from 10 species
CCAAACUAAACAUGCUCUUAGCACAUGAUCCAGCCCUUGCACUCCUUAGAAUUUACCCAAAUAAGUUAAAAACUUAUGUUCACCCAGAACAGCUGCAUACAGCUGUUUAUAGCAGCUUUCUUCAUAGUUGCGAAAACCUGGAAGCAACCAAGAUGUCUUGCUUCCAGGUUUGGAAGGAUGGAUGGGUAAAUAAACUGAUACAUCCAGGCAAUGAAAUAUUGUUCAGUGCUAAAAGGAAAUGCACUAUCAAGCUAUAAAAAGACAUGGAGGAACCUUAAAUGCAUAUUGCUAAGUGAAAGAAGCUCAUCUGAGAAGGCCAGCUUCAAGUGAUUCUCAUGCCUCAACCUCUCAAGUAGCUGGGAUUACAGGCACGUGCCACCAUGCCUGGCUAAUUUUUUCAUUUUUAGUAGAGACAAGGUUUCACCAUGUUGGCCAUGCUGGUCUUGAACUCUUGACCUCAAGUGAUCCGCCCACCUUGGCCUCCCAAAGUGGUAGGAUUACAGGCAUGAGCCACCAUGCCCACCCCCAUUAUACGUUUGUCAAAACCCACAGAAUGUACGCCACCAAGAGUGAACCCUAAUAUAAACUGUGGACCUGGGGUGAUAAUUAUGUGACAAUGUAGGUUCAUUGAUCUAACACAUGUACCACUGUGACGCAGUACAUCAAUAGUGGGGAUGUUUAUGAGACAGGGUCUUGCUGUGUUGUCCAGACUGGUGUUGAACUCCUGGUUUCAAGCGAUCCUCCCACCUGGGAUUACAGGCAUGAGCCACUAUGCCCAAUCAUCUCUCUGAGCUUCUUGGAUCUGUAGUUUGUAUCUUUCAUUAUUUUCUGAAGAUUCUUGGCUAAUUUCUCUUUAAAUAUUUCUUCUUUAAAAAAUAUCUACUUCAAAUACCUAAUAUAGAUGACGGGUUGAUGG